GACAGAGGUUGCAAACGUUGUUCGGAAUCACUGGGCAUAAAGCGCACGUAGGCGGUCUGUUAAGUCAGGUGUGAAAGCCCCCGGCUCAACCGGGGAACAGCAUUCGAUACUGGCAGACUCGAGGAUGGUAGGGGUGAGUGGAACUCCAGGUGGAGCGGUGAAAUGCGUAGAUAUCUGGAGGAACACCGGUGGCGAAGGCGGAUCUCUGGGCCUUACCUGACGCUCAGGCGCGAAAGCGUGGGGAGCAAACAGG
rnacentral:rRNA from 1 species